rnacentral:rRNA from 1 species
AACGGACGCUGGCGGCAGGCUUAACACAUGCAAGUCGAGCGCCCCGCAAGGGGAGCGGCAGACGGGUGAGUAACGCGCGGGAAUCUACCCAUCUCUACGGAAUAACGCAUGGAAACGUGUGCUAAUACCGUAUACGUCCUUCGGGAGAAAGAUUUAUCGGAGAUGGAUGAGCCCGCGUUGGAUUAGCUAGUUGGUGGGGUAAAGGCCUACCAAGGCGACGAUCCAUAGCUGGUCUGAGAGGAUGAUCAGCCACACUGGGACUGAGACACGGCCCAGACUCCUACGGGAGGCAGCAGUGGGGAAUAUUGGACAAUGGGCGCAAGCCUGAUCCAGCCAUGCCGCGUGAGUGAUGAAGGCCCUAGGGUUGUAAAGCUCUUUCACCGGUGAAGAUAAUGACGGUAACCGGAGAAGAAGCCCCGGCUAACUUCGUGCCAGCCGCCGCAGUAAUAC